AUUGCCCUAGUAACGGCGAGUGAAGCGGCAACAGCUCAAAUUUGAAAUCUGGCCUUCGGGUCCGAAUUGUAAUUUGUAGAGGAUGCUUUUGGUGAGGUGCCUUCCGAGUUCCCUGGAACGGGACGCCAUAGAGGGUGAGAGCCCCGUCUGGUUGGACACCGAUCCUCUGUAAAGCUCCUUCGACGAGUCGAGUAGUUUGGGAAUGCUGCUCUAAAUGGGAGGUAUAUGUCUUCUAAAGCUAAAUAUUGGCCAGAGACCGAUAGCGCACAAGUAGAGUGAUCGAAAGAUGAAAAGCACUUUGAAAAGAGAGUUAAAAAGUACGUGAAAUUGUUGAAAGGGAAGCGCUCAUGACCAGACUUGGGCUUGGUUGAUCAUCCAGGGUUCUCCCUGGUGCACUCUUCCAGUCCAGGCCAGCAUCAGUUCGCUGUGGGGGAUAAAGGCUUCGGGAAUGUGGCUCCUUCGGGAGUGUUAUAGCCCGUUGUGUAAUACCCUGUGGUGGACUGAGGUUCGCGCAUCUGCAAGGAUGCUGGCGUAAUGGUCAUCAGCGACCCGUCUUGAAACACGGACCAAGGAGUCGUCUUCGUAUGCGAGUGUUCGGGUGUUAAACCCCUACGCGUAAUGAAAGUGAACGCAGGUGAGAGCUUCGGCGCAUCAUCGACCGAUCCUGAUGUUCUCGGAUGGAUUUGAGUAAGAGCAUACGGGGCCGGACCCGAAAGAAGGUGAACUAUGCCUGUAUAGGGUGAAGCCAGAGGAAACUCUGGUGGAGGCUCGCAGCGGUUCUGACGUGCAAAUCGAUCGUCAAAUAUGGGCAUGGGGGCGAAAGACUAAU
rnacentral:rRNA from 1 species